rnacentral:rRNA from 1 species
UACGUAGGGUGCGAGCGUUAAUCGGAAUUACUGGGCGUAAAGCGUGCGCAGGCGGUUUUGUAAGCCAGAUGUGAAAGCCCCGGGCUUAACCUGGGAAUGGCAUUUGGGACUGCAAGGCUUGAGUGCGGCAGAGGAGACUGGAAUUCCUGGUGUAGCAGUGAAAUGCGUAGAUAUCAGGAGGAACACCCGUGGCGAAAGCGGCUCUCUGGGACGGUACUGACGCUGAGGCACGAAGGCCAGGGGAGCAAACGGG